GUGCCAGCAGCCGCGGUAAUACGGAGGAUGCAAGCGUUAUCCGGAAUUAUUGGGCGUAAAGCGUCCGUAGGUGGUUGUUCAAGUCUGCUGUUAAAGCGUGCGGCUUAACCGCAUAUCAGCAGUGGAAACUGGAUGACUAGAGUGCGGUAGGGGUCAGGGGAAUUCCCAGUGUAGCGGUGAAAUGCGUAGAUAUUGGGAAGAACACCGGUGGCGAAAGCGCCUGACUGGACCUGCACUGACACUGAGGGACGAAAGCUAGGGAAGCGAAAGGGAUUAGAUACCCCUGUAGUCCUAGCCGUAAACGAUGGACACUAGGUGUUGCCCGUAUCGACCCGGGCAGUGCCGUAGCCAACGCGUUAAGUGUCCCGCCUGGGGAGUACGCUCGCAAGAGUGAAACUCAAUGAAUUGACGG
rnacentral:rRNA from 1 species